ACAAAAACAUGGCCUUUUGGGUGGAAUUUAAGGUCGGGCCUGCCCACUGAUAUAAUUGAAGGGCCGCGGUAUUUUGACCGUGCAAAGGUAGCAUAAUCAUUAGUCUUUUAAUUGAGGGCUGGAAUGAAUGGUUUGACGAAAUAUUAACUGUCUCUUUAUAAUAAAUUGAAUUUAACUUUUGAGUCAAAAGGCUUAAAUGAAUAUAAAAGACGAGAAGACCCUAUAGAUCUUUAUAUAGUUAUAUAAUUGGUUUAUUUAGUUGUUUUAUUUACGAUUAUUUUGCUGUAUUUUGUUGGGGUGACAUGAAGAUAAAAAUAACUCUUUAUAAUAGGAACAUUGAUUUAUGAGUGAUUGAUCCGUUAUUAACGAUUAUAAGAUAAAGUUACCUUAGGGAUAACAGCGUAAUUUUUUUUGAGAGUUCUUAUCGACAAAAAAGAUUGCGACCUCGAUGUUGGAUUAAGGAAUAUGAUUAGGUGUAGCAGUUUAAUUAAUAAGUCUGUUCGACUUUUAAAUCCUUACGUCAUCUGAG
rnacentral:rRNA from 1 species